UGGGGAAUUUUCCGCAAUGGGCGCAAGCCUGACGGAGCAAUACCGCGUGAGGGAGGAAGGCUUUUGGGUUGUAAACCUCUUUUUUCAAGGAAGAAGUUCUGACGGUACUUGAAGAAUCAGCAUCGGCUAACUCCGUGCCAGCAGCCGCGGUAAUACGGAGGAUGCAAGCGUUAUCCGGAAUCAUUGGGCGUAAAGCGUCCGCAGGUGGCUUAUCAAGUCUGCUGUUAAAGACAGAAGCUCAACUUCUGAACAGCGGUGGAAACUGGUAGGCUAGAGUACGGUAGGGGUUGAGGGAAUUCCCAGUGUAGCGGUGAAAUGCGUAGAUAUUGGGAAGAACACCAGUGGCGAAGGCGCUCAACUGGGCCGUAACUGACACUCAGGGACGAAAGCUAGGGGAGCGAAAGGGAUUAGAUACCCCCGUAGUCC
rnacentral:rRNA from 1 species